UUCACAUAUUCUUAAUAUGAAGAGAAGUUCCCUUCAUAUAAGAAGUUUCAGGUGUAUACACUUCUCCGUCUUUAGAUAUAGAUGGACCAAAAAUGGCUUCAUGGGUCCGUAAAGUUUCUGGGGCUUUCGAGAAACGGGCCCCUGGCCCUUAAUGACACUCCCUUUGAAUUGUUGAUGUUAUCCCUCUAAUCAAACAUGUAUGACAAAUCUCUUAAUGCAGGUCCAGUUUUAGCCCUACAUUAUAUAAAUACAUAUAUUAUUAUUAUAUGGCUAGCUCCCUGAGCAGGCCAGUGGCACUAUCUUGCCUUUCAGGGUUACAUGGCGCGAUGUCUGACAAGAAAAAAUUGUUCUUUAUCCCAUAUAAUAAUUCCUAUAUUGACCAAGCUUGUUCGGUCAAGAUGGCUAAAUAUUGGCCUUGUUCUUUGUUUGCAUGCUAUGGACCUUGACUAUGUUUUGGUCCAUAACCAUGCAAAAAAAAGAACUUGGUCAAUAUCCAGCCAUCUUGACCUCAUGCUUCGUUAGAAACCCAUAAUUUUAUGUAAUUGGACUGAGUGGAGCACAGUUUAGGGUGUAAUUGUUUGAGUACAGGUAAUUUCAAAUUGACCGAGUGUGCAGGACAAUGCUGCGAUUACUUAUAAUUCCAACAAUAACAAAUUUCAAGAUUAAAAGAGUCUUUAAUUCUAGUUACAGGAUCUUAUAUGAGUCCUAUUUUACCUCCCCAGCAUACAUUGUACAUAUCCUGCAUUCAGUAGACAUUAAGAUUAUUGGAACCUUUCAAGUAGUUGUCGUUAUCUGCAUACUAUUUAUAAACAAAGUUUGCCUUAUCCUGUUGUUCUACUGUUCAUCUUAGGACUGCAGCCUUUUGUGUCAUAUUUGCAGUUUUUCCAGUGCUUACCAGGAUUGAAUGCUUUUAAAGUCUUUCCUCUUUCUUACCAGAUUGAGAUCAGAGAAGCAACAAUAAAGUUUAUACAGUGAAACUUAUAUGGAAAGAAAUUCACUUUGAGGCAUUAGAUCCCAUAAUAGGGAAACAACAAUGAAAGUAUAUGCUGAGACUUGAGAGGGGAAAAAAUCACGUUGGAAAAAAUCACGUUGAAACAGUGGAUUCUGUGAUAGAAACCAGAAGGCUGUGUGCUGAGGCUUAUGUGGAAAAAGAUUCAUACUGAGGUAAUAGAUUCCACAUCAGAUGCCUAACAGAAGCAAGGAAAGGGCUAUGUGUCAAGACUUAAGAGGAGAAAGAAUCAAACAGAGACACUGGGUUCCAUAGUAGAUACAAAACAGAGAAGGAACUAUAAAAGCUGUGCUGUCUUAAGAGGAAAACGAAUCAAAGUGAGACAUUGGAUCCUUUGUUAGGUGCGUCACAAUUUUCUUUUAAAAGGAAGAGUUUUUAAUCACUUGAUGGUGCAUGUACUAGGAAUAAUUGUACACAUUGCAAGGAAAUAAUUUAAACGAAUGGCGAAGUUAUUGUUUCAAUUUGAGUGGACAAAGAUAGGGAUCUUAUCCAUGGAUGUAAAAAAGCUCUGAACUGCCUUGUAUGCUACACGAGAGUAAAGCAUGUUUUCUGUAAGUACGCUUGAAAUAACUUUCUUGGUUACAAAUGUCAGUCUCAUCAUAUGCUAAAACUUUCACAAUGGGAGAGAAA
rnacentral:lncRNA from 1 species